GCAAGCUUGGCCGAAUGGUUAAGCUCUCCGCUUAGUAAGCGGAAGAUCAUGGGUUCGAUUCCCAGCUGCU
rnacentral:tRNA from 1 species